rnacentral:rRNA from 1 species
AUACGGAGGGUGCAAGCGUUAAUCGGAAUUACUGGGCGUAAAGCGCUCGUAGGCGGUUUGUUAAGUCGGAUGUGAAAGCCCCGGGCUCAACCUGGGAACUGCAUUCGAUACUGGCAAACUAGAGUAUAGUAGAGGCAAGUGGAAUUCCGGGUGUAGCAGUGAAAUGCGUAGAUAUCCGGAGGAACAUCAGUGGCGAAGGCGACUUGCUGGACUAAUACUGACGCUGAGGAGCGAAAGCGUGGGGAGCAAACGGGAUUAGAUACCCUGGUAGUCC